GUAUAUAGGAGUAUUUUUGGUCGUUUUGCAAUCUAUCUAGCCAUUUGCUCAAGUUAUAAAUUCCUAGUCUGUUCCAGAUGUUCAAUUUGUUAUGAUCAUUUUAGUCUUUCGAGUUUUACAUGGCUCAUACUUUUCGUGAUUAUUUUCCUUUAUUGUCUGACAUUAUUCUUUUUUGUUGUGGAAAAUCUUUAGCACGCACUCCACGAAUUGAUGG
rnacentral:misc_RNA from 1 species